rnacentral:rRNA from 1 species
UGGGGAAUCUUCCGCAAUGGACGAAAGUCUGACGGAGCAACGCCGCGUGAGUGAAGACGGCCUUCGGGUUGUAAAGCUCUGUGAUUCGGGACGAAAGGCCAUAUGUGAAUAAUAUAUGGAAAUGACGGUACCUACAGAAGAAGCGACGGCUAAAUACGUGCCAGCAGCCGCGGUAAUACGUAUGUCGCGAGCGUUAUCCGGAAUUAUUGGGCUUAAAGGGCAUCUAGGCGGUUAAACAAGUUGAAGGUGAAAACCUGUGGCUCAACCAUAGGCUUGCCUACAAAACUGUAUAACUAGAGUACUGGAAAGGUGGGUGGAACUACACGAGUAGAGGUGAAAUUCGUAGAUAUGUGUAGGAAUGCCGAUGAUGAAGAUAACUCACUGGACAGCAACUGACGCUGAAGUGCGAAAGCUAGGGGAGCAAACAGG